UCGGAUAUAGUGUAACGGCUAACAUUACCGCCUUUCAUCCAUACUGAGCAUCAUAUUCGAGGCGUGGUAGCUCAGGGGUUCGAUUCCCAUGUGACCGAA